rnacentral:rRNA from 1 species
UACGAAGGGUGCAAGCGUUAAUCGGAAUUACUGGGCGUAAAGCGCGCGUAGGUGGUUCAGCAAGUUGGAUGUGAAAGCCCUGGGCUCAACCUGGGAACUGCAUCCAAAACUACUGAGCUAGAGUACGGUAGAGGGUAGUGGAAUUUCCUGUGUAGCGGUGAAAUUCGUAGAUAUCCAGAGGAACACCGGUGGCGAAGGCGGCUUCCUGGACAAUGACUGACGCUGAGACGCGAAAGCGUGGGGAGCAAACAGGAUUAGAAACCCCAGUAGU